rnacentral:rRNA from 1 species
GAUGAACGCUGGCGGCGUGCUUAACACAUGCAAGUCGAACGGUGAAGCAGAGCUUGCUCUGUGGAUCAGUGGCGAACGGGUGAGUAACACGUGAGCAACCUGCCCCGGACUCUGGGAUAAGCGCUGGAAACGGCGUCUAAUACCGGAUACGACAUUCCACCGCAUGGUGAGUUUCUGGAAAGAUUUUUUGGUCUGGGAUGGGCUCACGGACUAGCAGCUUGUUGGUGAGGUAAUGGCUCACCAAGGCGUCGACGGGUAGCCGGCCUGAGAGCGUGACCGGCCACACUGGGACUGCGACACGGCCCAGACUCCUACGGGAGGCAGCAGUGGGGAAUAUUGCACAAUGGGCGGAAGCCUGAUGCAGCAACGCCGCGUGAGGGAUGACGGCCUUCGGGUUGUAAACCUCUUUUAGCAGGGAAGAAGCGAAAGUGACGGUACCUGCAGAAAAAGCGCCGGCUAACUACGUGCCAGCAGCCGCCGUAA